AGAGUUUGAUCCUGGCUCAGAAUGAACGCUGGCGGCGUGCUUAACACAUGCAAGUCGAACGAGAACGGGAUUGCUUGCAAUCCUUAGUAGAGUGGCGCACGGGUGAGUAACACGUAGAUAAUCUACCUUCAAGCCCGGGAUAACUAUUCGAAAGGAUAGCUAAUACCGGAUAAAGUUGCGAUACACAGGUAUUGUAAUGAAAGAUUGCCUCUCCUUGGAAGCAAUUGUUUGGGGAUGAGUCUGCGGACCAUUAGUUUGUUGGUGGGGUAAAGGCCUACCAAGACUGCGAUGGUUAGCUGGUCUGAGAGGAUGAUCAGUCACACUGGAACUGGAACACGGUCCAGACUCCUACGGGAGGCAGCAGUGAGGAAUUUUGCGCAAUGGGGGCAACCCUGACGCAGCAACGCCGCGUGAGUGAAGAAGGCCUUUGGGUCGUAAAGCUCUGUCAACUGGGAAGAAAUUAUUCAUCAUUAAUAGUGAUGUUUAUUGACGGUACCAGUGGAGGAAGCGCCGGCUAACUCCGUGCCAGCAGCCGCGGUAACACGGGGGGCGCAAGCGUUAUUCGGAAUUAUUGGGCGUAAAGGGCGCGCAGGCGGUCUUGUCGGUCAGAUGUGAAAGCCCGGGGCUCAACCCUGGAAGUGCAUUUGAAACAGCAAGACUUGAAUACGGGAGAGGAGAGAGGAAUUCCUGGUGUAGAGGUGAAAUUCGUAGAUAUCAGGAGGAACACCGAUGGCGAAGGCAUCUCUCUGGACCGAUAUUGACGCUGAGGCGCGAAGGCGUGGGUAGCGAACAGGAUUAGAUACCCUGGUAGUCCACGCAGUAAACGUUGUACACUCGGUGUGCCGGAUAUUAAAAUCUGGUGUGCCUAAGCUAACGCGUUAAGUGUACCGCCUGGGGAGUACGUGUCGCAAGACUAAAACUCAAAGGAAUUGACGGGGGCCCGCACAAGCGGU
rnacentral:rRNA from 1 species